GUGAGUAUGACAAUAAUAAGUACUGGUUUAUUUUGUUACAAUGCAUAUGAACUUAUGCAUUCACAAUAUAUCUUUGCUUUGUUAACAAGCUUAACUUCUACGAUACACGUUUUUUGAGUUUCUGCUGUUGGUAGGAGGUUUCAUAUAUGAUGUGCUUUGCUUGAGAACUAUUUCGAGACUUUCACUUUUACUAUUAUUUAAUAUAUUGGAGAAAUUUGUGGCAAUUCUAAAUGCAGAAGGGUCUGUUAACAAACAAAUAAAAUGAUUGUCAUGUCCACAUUUACUAAUGUAACGUUCAAAGGUUUACACAUCUGAAAAAAGAAAACAACAGAGUUGGCAUACGCGUAAAGUUAUUUUGGUUGGACUCAUUGUAUCUAAAAGUUAUUGGAGGAGGUGGACUUGGAUUGUGAAAAUACAUAUAAAAAUAGAAAAUAGAUUAAAACAAAGUUAUGAGAUAUUCGAGGUUUCUUGGAAAUAUUGCAAAUGUACACACGUACAUACACACGAACAGCCGCACCAACCCACAGUAAAAAUAGUAUGUGGUUAUGUCUUAUGUAUGACGUUUACAUUCUUGCCCACUUAGCCACUGCAGAUAACUUUCUUUAAUAGUCAAGAGGAAAUGGAUAUACAUAUAUUUUUGUGUUAUGUUUAUAUGUUUCAAAGAUGCGAUGGGAAAAUAAAAAAAAUCAUUUGACCCCUUA